AUACUUUUUCAGCCUUUUUUUUCUUGCAACUCAUUCUACUCUCAACAUCGGUGACCAGAAAAAAGUUAAAAAAAAAUCCUCAUCUUGACUGGGUCGAAUCCGUAAUCUAGUCUUGCAAUUCUUCCAAGAAUCUCGUCGAAUCGCUAGAUUCUUAAAACCCAUUAUCAUUCUCGAAUUUAAUUCGAAAUUUUUCUCCUCUGCUUUUCAAAUCUACAGUUUCUUCCAGUGACUGAAUCAAGAGUCUCCUUCUUCUGUACUAAAAGAUUUAAUUGCGGACUGUGCAUUUAAUUCGGAAAGGAGGACGCUUUAGAUUCGCUGCUGAGAGAAUCAGAGAGUCAUGUCAUGUGAGGGUUUGGUGAAGAGGAAGAAGGAGAACAUGUGACUUACGUUUUGCUUAGGAAAAUGAUAUGAUUGCUUUGACGAGGUGAGCCAUUUGAAUUCUUCUUAGUAUCAUAAAAAUCUUAUCCUUCUUCUGAAAUGAAAAGCAAUGUACAUGUGGAUAAUACAUUGCGUACACUGGGUAGUUCUAUGUACACAUGUACACUUAUGGAUGUUCACGCUAUAGGUCAAUGUACACACGUACAAUAUCAAAUUCUAUAUCCACAUGGACAAUAUAUAAAGAUCAUCUUGUUUCUUUAUCCUUCACUUCUUGAUAUAAAACCAGAUUUGAGAUGAAUUUCUUGCCCCAGCUGGUUGAACCAAACAAAGCUUCGACGCUUAAGCAGGUUUAGAGUCUAAAUGCUCGACUAUCAAGUGUUUGUGUAGUUCAAUACCUUGCAUCAGAUCAUCUGCUUGUAUAUGUCAAUCAACUGUGUUUCUAGUUACUGUAAAAAUAUGAUGUCUCAAAAGACAAUGCGUCUUUAUUAGGUUUUUGGAAACUAUUUACGGGAUAUUUUUGAGAAAUUAAGAAUACAUAAGUUAAUCAUGUAAACGUCUGCGUUCUCCUCAACACCAGUUGAGUUCGGAUGAUAUUUGAUAUACUACUAUUGAGUUUUUGAAA